CGGAGGAGGCCGGAUCCUGGGCUGAGUCCCGGCGCCCUGUGCUCCGGGGCCUGCGCUGGUGGAUUCGCGCUCCCGGGCCGCGCAGCCCCCU
rnacentral:pre_miRNA from 1 species